rnacentral:rRNA from 1 species
GACGAACGCUGGCGGCGUGCUUAACACAUGCAAGUCGAACGGAAAGGCCCUGCUUUUGUGGGGUGCUCGAGUGGCGAACGGGUGAGUAACACGUGAGUAACCUGCCCUUGACUUUGGGAUAACUUCAGGAAACUGGGGCUAAUACCGGAUAGGAGCUCCUGCUGCAUGGUGGGGGUUGGAAAGUUUCGGCGGUUGGGGAUGGACUCGCGGCUUAUCAGCUUGUUGGUGGGGUAGUGGCUUACCAAGGCUUUGACGGGUAGCCGGCCUGAGAGGGUGACCGGCCCCAUUGGGACUGAGAUACGCCCCAGACUCCUACGGGAGGCAGCAGUGGGGAAUAUUGCACAAUGGGCGGAAGCCUGAUGCAGCAACGCCGCGUGCGGGAUGACGGCCUUCGGGUUGUAAACCGCUUUCGCCUGUGACGAAGCGAGAGUGACGGUAAUGGGUAAAGAAGCACCGGCUAACUACGUG